GACCGCGUAGCUCAGAUGGCAGAGCAUUGGGCUAGUAUUCCAAAGGUCGUAGGUUCGAUUCCCACCGUGGCCA
rnacentral:tRNA from 1 species